rnacentral:snRNA from 1 species
AUCGCUUCUUGGCCUUUUGGCUAAGAUCAAGUGUAGUAUCUGUUCUUAUUAGUUUAAUAUCUGUUAUGUCCUCUAUCCGAGGACAAUAUAUUAAAUGGAUUUUUGGAGCUUGAUUUUGGAAUAGGAGCUUGCUCCAUCCACUCCUUGCAUUGACCUAGUAUUGCAGUACUUCCAGGAACGGUGCACCCCCC